UACGGAAGGCAGCAGUGGGGAAUAUUGCACAAUGGGCGUAAGCCUGAUGCAGCCAUGCCGCGUGUAUGAAAAAGGCCUUCGGGUUGUAAAGUACUUUCAGUCGUGAGGAAGGUGUUAAGGUUAAUAACCUUAGCAAUUGACGUUAGCGACAGAAGAAGCACCGGCUAACUCCGUGCCAGCAGCCGCGGUAAUACGGAGGGUGCGAGCGUUAAUCGGAAUUACUGGGCGUAAAGGGCACGCAGGCGGUUAAUUAAGUUGGAUGUGAAAUCCCCGGGCUUAACCUGGGAAUGGCAUUCAAGACUGGUUAGCUAGAGUCUUGUAGAGGGGGGUAGAAUUCCAUGUGUAGCGGUGAAAUGCGUAGAGAUGUGGAGGAAUACCGGGUGGCGAAGGCGGCCCCCUGGGACAAAGACUGACGCUCAUGUGCGAAAGCGUGGGGAGCAAACAGGGAUUAGAUACC
rnacentral:rRNA from 1 species